CCUACGGGGGGCAGCAGUGGGGAAUUUUGGACAAUGGGGGCAACCCUGAUCCAGCCAUGCCGCGUGUGUGAAGAAGGCCUUCGGGUUGUAAAGCACUUUCGGCCGGAACGAAAUCGCACUGGUGAAUAUCCAGUGUGGAUGACGGUACCGGAAGAAGAAGCACCGGCUAACUACGUGCCAGCAGCCGCGGUAAUACGUAGGGUGCGAGCGUUAAUCGGAAUUACUGGGCGUAAAGUGUGCGCAGGCGGUUUCGCAAGUCAAGUGUGAAAGCCCCGGGCUUAACCUGGGAACUGCGCUUGAAACUACGAGACUCGAGUGUGGCAGAGGAAGGUGGAAUUCCACGUGUAGCGGUGAAAUGCGUAGAGAUGUGGAGGAACACCGAUGGCGAAGGCAGCCUUCUGGGCCAACACUGACGCUCAUGCACGAAAGCGUGGGGAGCAAACAGGAUUAGAUACCCGAGUAGUC
rnacentral:misc_RNA from 1 species